GUGUGUGGAGGGCUAGUGGAGGAGUGUAGAGGGCUAGUGGAGGUGUGUAGAGGGCUAGUGGAAGAGUGUGGAAGGCUAGUGGAGGAGUGUGUAGAGAGCUAGUGGAGGAGUGUGGAGGGCUAGUGGAGGAGUGUGGAGGGCUAGUGGAGGAGUGUGUAGAGGGCUAGUGGAGGACUGUGGAGAGGGCAAGUGGAGGAGUGUAGAGAGCUAGUGGAGGAGUGUGGAGGGCUAGUGGAGGAGGGUGGAGGGCUAGUGGAGGAGUGUAGAGGGCUAGUGGAGGAGGAAAGAGGGCUAGUUGAGGAGUGUAGAGGGCUAGUGGAGGAGUGUGGAGGGCUAGUGGAGGAGAGUGUGGAGGGCUAGUGGAGGAGUGUAGAGGGCUAGUGGAGGAGUGUGUAGAGGGCUUGUGGAGGAGUAAAGAGGGCUAGUGGAGGAGAGUGUAGAGGGCUAGUGGAGGUGUGUAGAGGGCUAGUGGAAGAGUGUGGAAGGCUAGUGGAGGAGUGUGUAGAGAGCUAGUGGAGGAGUGUGGAGGGCUAGUGGAGGAGUGUGGAGGGCGAGUGGAGGAGUGUAUAGAGGGCUAGUGGAGGAGUGUAUAGGGCAAGUGGAGGAGUGUGUAGAGUGCUAGUGGAGGACUGUGGAGAGGGCAAGUGGAGGAGUGUAUAGUGCUAGUGGAGGAGUGUGGAGGGCUAGUAGAGGAGGGUGGAGGGCUAGAGGAGGAGUGUGUAGAGGGCUAGUGGAGGAAUGUGGAGGGAUAGUGGAGGAGUGUUUAGAGGGCUAGUGGAGGAGUGUAGAGGGCUAGUGGAGGAGAGUAGAGGGCCAGUGGAGGAGUGUUGAGGGCUAGUGCAGGAGUGUGCAGGGCUAGUGGAGGAGUGUGUAGAGGGCUAGUGGAGGAGUGUGUAUAGGGCUAGUGGAGGAGUGAGUAGAGGGCUAGUGUAGGAGUGUAGAGGGCUUGUGGAGGAGUAAAGAGGGCUAGUGGAGGAGUGUGUAGAGGGCUAGUGGAGGAGUGUGUAGAGGGCUAGUGGAGGACUGUGGAGAGGGCAAGUGGAGGACUGUAGAGAGCUAGUGGAGGAGUGUGGAGGGCUAGUGGAGGAGGGUGGAGGGCUAGUGGAGGAGUGUAGAGGGCUAGUGGAGGAGUGUGGAGGGCUAGUGGAGGAGUGUGUAGAGGGCUAGUGGAGGUGUGUGGAGGGCUAGUGGAGGAGUGUGGAGGGCUAGUGGAGGAGUGUGUAGAGGGCUAGUGGAGGAGUGUGGAGGGCUAGUGGAGGAGUGUAGAGGGCUAGUGGAGGAGUGUGUAGAGGGCUAGUGGAGGAGUGUAUGGAGCUAAUGGAGGAGUGUGUAGAGGGCUAGUGGAGGAGUGUAGAGGGCUAGUGGAGGUGUGUAGAGGACUAGUGGAGGAGUGUAGAGGGCUAGUGGAGGUGUGUAUAGGGCUAGUGGAGGAGUGUAGAGGGCUAGUGGAGCAGUGUGGAGGGCUAGUGGAGGAGGGUGGAGGGCUAGUGGAGGAGUGUAGAGGGCUAGUGGAGGAGUGUGGAGGGCUAGUGGAGGAGUGUGUAGAGGGCUAGUGGAGGAGUGUGGAGGGCUAGUGGGGGAGUGUGGCGGGCUAGUGGAGGAGUGUAGAGGGCUAGUGGAGGAGUGUGUAGAUGGCUAGUGGAGGUGUGUGGAGGGCUAGUGGAGAAGUGUAGAGGGCUAGUGGAGGAGUGUGUAGAGAGCUAGUGGAGGAGUGUGGAGGGCUAGUGGAGGAGUGUGGAGGGCUAGUGGAGGAGUGUAUAGAGGGCUAGUGGAGGAGUGUAUAGGGCUAGUGGAGGAGUGUGUAGAGGGCUAGUGGAGGACUGUGGAGAGGGCAAGUGGAGGAGUGUAGAGAGCUAGUGGAUGAGUGUGGAGGGCUAGUGGAGGAGUUGUGAGAGGGCUAGUGGAGGUGUGUGGAGGGCUAGUGGAGGAGUGUAGAGGCCUAGUGGAGGUGUGUAGAGGGCUAGUGGAGGAGUGUGGAGGGCUAGUGGAGGAGUGUGUAGAGAGCUAGUGGAGGAGUGUUUAGGGCUAGUGAAGGAGUGUAGAGGGCUAGUGGAGGAGUGUAGAGGGCUAGUGGAGGAGUGUGUGGAGGGCUAGUGUAGGAGUGUAGAGGGCUAGUGGAGGUGUGUAGAGGGCUAGUGGAGGAUUGUGGAGGGCUAGUGGAGAAGUGUAGAGGGCUAGUGGAGGUGUGUGGAAGGCUAGUGGAGGUGUGUGGAAGGCUAGUGGAGAAGUGUAGAGGGCUAGUGGAGGUGUGUAGAGGGCUAGUGGAGGAUUGUGGAGGGCUAGUGGAGGAGUGUGUAGAAAGCUAGUGGAGGAGUGUGGAGGGCUAGUGGAGGAAGGUGGAGGGCUAGUAGAGGAGUGUAGAGGGCUAGUGGAGGAGUGUGGAGGGCUAGUGGAGGAGUAUUUAGAGGGCUAGUGUAGGUGUUUUGAGGGCUAGUGGGGGAGUGUGAAGGGCUAGUGGAGGAGAGUGUGGAGGGCUAGUGGAGGAGUGUGUAGAGGGCUAGUGGAGGAGUGUGUAUAGGGCUAGUGGAGGAGUGUGUAGAGGGCUAGUGGAGGAGUGUAGAGGGCUAGUGCAGGUGUGUAGAGGGCUAGUGGAGGAGUGUGGAGGGCUAGUGGAGGAGUGUGUAGAGAGCUAGUGGAGGAGUGUGUAGAGGGCUAGUGGAGGAGUGUAGAGGGCUAGUGGAGGAGUGUGUAGAGGGCUAGUGGAGGACUGUGGAGAGGGCAAGUGGAGGAGUGUAGAGAGCUAGUGGAGGAGUGUGUAGAGAAGGCAUGGAAUAGAGACAUGAAUAGGCUCACUAGCCUCCCUGGCCUCUCAUGCCCCCCCUCGACCUUGUUAUUCCUUCCUGUCCCGCUCUCCCUCUCCUCCUCCCUCUCCCUGGUGGUGUCCAUGGAUUGAUGAGGAAUUGAAAAACUGUAUAGUUGAAAG
rnacentral:lncRNA from 1 species